UGGUGCUGAAGGAUAAAAGGGAAUCGGGUGCAAAUCCCGUACAGUCCCGCUGCUGUGAUUUCCGCGAAGUGCCUAUAAUUCUUUGCCACUGCUCCGUAUGGGGUGGGAAGGCUCAUAGGGAUGGAAUAAGUCAGAAGACCUGCAAAGCG
rnacentral:ncRNA from 1 species